rnacentral:rRNA from 1 species
UACGAAGGGGGCUAGCGUUGUCCGGAUUUAUUGGGCGUAAAGAGCGUGUAGGCGGCCAGACAGGUCCGUUGUGAAAACUUGAGGCUCAACCUCGAGACGCCGAUGGAAACCGUCUGGCUAGAGUCCGGAAGAGGAGAGUGGAAUUCCUGGUGUAGCGGUGAAAUGCGCAGAUAUCAGGAAGAACACCCGUGGCUAAGGCGGCUCUCUAGUACGGUACUGACGCUGAGACGCGAAAGCGUGGGGAGCGAACAGG